AAGUCGAACGUGAAAGUCCUUCGGGACGAGUAAAGUGGCGCACGGGUGAGUAACGCGUGGAUAAUCUACCCUUAAGAUGGGGAUAACGGCUGGAAACGGUCGCUAAUACCGAAUACGCUCCCGAUUUUAUCAUUGGGGGAAAGAUGGCCUCUGCUUGCAAGCUAUCGCUUAAGGAUGAGUCCGCGUCCCAUUAGCUAGUUGGCGGGGUAACGGCCCACCAAGGCAACGAUGGGUAGCCGGUCUGAGAGGAUGACCGGCCACACUGGAACUGGAACACGGUCCAGACUCC
rnacentral:rRNA from 1 species